GGAGUUAGCCGGUGCUUCUUCUGUGAGUGAUGUCCUUCCUGCCGGCUAUUAACCCGCAGGCCUUCUUCCUCACUGAAAGUGCUUUACAACCCGAAGGCCUUCUUCACACACGCGGCAUGGCUGGAUCAGGGUUGCCCCCAUUGUCCAAUAUUCCCCACUGCUGCCUCCCGUAGGAGUCUGGGCCGUGUCUCAGUCCCAGUGUGGCUGAUCAUCCUCUCAGACCAGCUACGGAUCGUCGCCUUGGUGAGCCGUUACCUCACCAACCAGCUAAUCCGACAUAGGCUCAUCCGAUAGCGCGAGGCCCGAAGGUCCCCCGCUUUCCCCCGUAGGGCGUAUGCGGUAUUAGCCUGGGUUUCCCCAGGUUAUCCCCCACUACCGGGGCAGAUUCCUAUGCAUUACUCACCCGUCCGCCGCUCGCCACCAGGGAGCAAGCUCCCCGUGCUGCCGCUCGACUUGCAUGUGUUAGCUGCCGCCAGCGUUCAUCUGAGCCAUAAUACAACUACUGA
rnacentral:rRNA from 1 species